AACACAGGAAACCCCAGCUCGGUAGGGUGGUGAACUUAGAACGCUCCCUUCUAAAGUUCUAGUCAAUUUCACCGGAGAGCGAUCUCUCCUGGAAUCCCGGCUGAUCACCUUUUCUAAGAAUUCCUAGGGGGCAGGCAUUCCUUUGCACCUUUCCAGGAACACUAGUCUCUUCCCUAUAAAAGGAACUCCUGGGGAAGCUCCAGCGGCCUGGACAGCUGAUUGUCUUGUGUAUCAGGCUCUGGGAAAUAAACUCUUCUCUCUCCUUCAAGGAACUGCCUGCGUGUUUAUUCCCAGCUUGGAGACGAACCUGAUAAGCUUUCUUCUAACAGAACCACAGGAAUCCUGAACUGGAGUUGGGGCACCUGGAUCUUGGGGAGUAGAUUGGUGGAUAGGUCUCUUCCUUUGGAGCUGCUUCUAGGUGAAGAAAUGUCCUGUGUCCAUGUUCCCCCCUCUGCUUCCCUCCCAUGCCUAUUCACAAAUCCUGCAGAAUACUAACGGCAUUUCCAGUUUUCAGAAGAGGCGUGUUGCAGAAAAGGGAAGUGUUUGCAGAAGGGACUGCUGUCAGCCAAAGGCAGCCCUACGUAAAAGCUCAUUAUAAAUAGUCUGGCAAGGAAGCAAGUGCAUGGAUGACUUAGACCAGGCCCAGCUGCUCCAGGGCCCCUUAUAACAUUUCUGACUGGUGCAUUGAUGGUAGCUGGCACAUCUGCUCACUGUUGUGGUGACUACGUCAGCAGCAGGAGAAAUGGGAGCAACAUUUCUGUCACUGAUACUAAAAUGAUCAAGAUUUUAUGGCUGUGAAUAAAAUAU